rnacentral:rRNA from 1 species
GACGAACGCUGGCGGCGUGCUUAACACAUGCAAGUCGAACGGAAAGGCCCUGCUUUUGUGGGGUGCUCGUGUGGCGAACGCGUGAGUAACACGUGAGUAACCUGCCCUUGACUUUGGGAUAACUUCAGGAAACUGGGGCUAAUACCGGAUAGGAGCUCCUGCUCCAUGGUGGGGGUUGGAAAGUUUCGGCGGUUGGGGAUGGACUCGCGGCUUAUCCGCUUGUUGGUGGGGUAGUGGCUUACGAAGCCUUUGACGGGUAGCCGGCCUGAGAGGGUGACCGGCGACAUUGGGACUAAGGUACGGACCAGACUCGUACGGGAGGCAGCAGGGGGGAAUAUUGCACAGUGGGCGGACGUCUGAUGCAGCAACGCCGCGUGCGGGAUGCCGGGUUUCGGGGUGUAAACAGCUUUCGCAUGUGACGAAGAGUGAGUGACGGUAAUGGGUAAAGAAGCAACGGCUAACUACGUG